rnacentral:rRNA from 1 species
GACGAACGCUGGCGGCGUGCCUAAUACAUGCAAGUGAAGUUCAGUGGCGGACGGGUGAGUAAUAUGUGGGUAACCUGCCCUCCUUUUUGGGAUAAGCCUUUGAAACGGGGUCUAAUACCGAGUAACGGGGGAUGGGCUCGUGGCCUAUCAGCUUGUUGGUGGGGUGAUGGCCUACCAAGGCGGUGACGGGUAGCCGGCCUGAGCAGGUGCCCGGCCACAUUGGCACGGAGCUGCGGCCCAGACUCCUACGGGAGGCAGCAGUGGGGGAUAUUGCACAAUGCGCGAAAGACUGAUGCAGCGACGCCGCGUGGGGUAUUAAGGCUUUCGGGUUGUAAACCUCUGUCGCUAGCGAACGGGUAGCUGCAGAAGAAGCACCGGCUAACUACGUGCCAGCAGCCGCGGUAAUUC